CAAAGGCAAGGAAGUGGUAAGAGAAAAAGAAUAGGAUUACUUUGUUAUCCUAUAACUUUUGGUUAGUGCAGUUGUAGAUAGCCUUAGCUGUGCAUUGCUCUUUUUGCAUCACUCAAUAUUAUCAGGUGGGCCAGAGGAGUUAUCUAAAGCAUUGGGGCAUUUUUGG